UCGUCAUCAGCUGGAAUCAUGCCUUCCUCUUCUUCUUCACCAAAAUAAGAAGCUCGAUGGCCAUUGGCGUAACCUACAACAUCCUGCCCACCACCUGGUGAUCUUUGCCAGUCCUGUGGAGUAUCAUCAUAUGGUGCCCUGAGCUUAUCCUUCCCGCCACCAUCACCAUCAGAAGCCUUCAACUUUUCCUUCCCUACACCAGCAGCACCAGGUGGGGACUGUGAUCUCUCUGGGGAAGAACCACGUGCAUUCACAGAAUUUGUGAAACCCCUUGUACCAUCUUUGUUGUAAGGUGAAACACGCUGCCGCUGUGGUGGUGGUGAUGACUGAGGCUUCUGCUCCAUGGCUGAUUUAUGGAAACUGCGCAUGGGAGAGCGUUCCCGAACAUUGUCAUUGUUGUAAGGUGAAACAUAUCGACCAUGCGGUGAACGAGCCUGCUCCAUGGCUGAUUUAUGAAAACUGUGCACUGGGGACCGUUCACGUACAGGUGGAGCCUUGUUGUAUCUUUCAAGGCUACGACUCCGGCUGCGAGACUUGCUUCGACUGCGGCUCCUGCUCCGGGCAUCACCAUAAGCCUGCCCCUUGUUGGGGCUCUGACUUCUACUUCGGCUACGAGCUCUAUCCCUUUCUCCAGCCCGGAUACUACUUGCAUGGUAGCCCCUAUCAUACCUUGAACGAGUAUCAAAAUCAUGCCCAUCAUGAUAACUGUGGUCGUACCUGUCCCUGCAUAACAAACGCAUUCAGAGAUUCAUCAUUUUGUCUCCAACCACUAGCUCUAAAACUAUAUGCUUGCACAUUAACAUAACGAGGUAAUGAAGACAGCCCAUUUUGUUCACAAUCAAGACAGCAAAAUCCACCAUACCGAUGUAGGCAUACACACAGAUUUUAAAUUCAAUAUGGACUCCCAAAGAAUCUGAAAUUCAAAACUAUAGCAGAAACACCACUGUUUUUCCCUUCUUCCCCCCUAGUUUGGAAAUUUAGCUUCAGUAUGAGCAGUGGGGAUCCACAUUGAAGUCUAACAGAUGUAUUUCUUUUCUUGGUUUAAAAAAUUCUUGUUAGUACGGGUUUGUAUAACAUAGAUUAUUAUUUAUAAGAGUUGAUUGAGGAAUAAAAUAAUAUUGGGAUAGCUAGAUGAAAGAAAAAAACAUUAAUUAUUAACAGGGGAUUUAAAUGUGGCUGAAACUUUUGCAAUUAACAUUCUCAAGCAAAAUUGAUUUUGGAUUGAUAAAUGCAAAACCAUGCAGAGAAUUUGAAAGGGAAGGAUUCCAAGUUUUAAAAUGGAACCAUAACCAAAAAAUAAAUUGGAGCUAUUAUUAAAACUCAAUAUCUUCAUAACAACAUGAGUAAGUGAUGUAGUUUCUAUAAAUCCUGAAAAGAUCAAAAAACUCAUAUGAAAGGGCUCCUCUCCAAAGAAAUGCAGGGGGCAGGGAAAAGGGAGACAAAAACCCCAAAGAUAGACAGCUAAAAUAUGUAAGUAAAUAUAGGUACCUGUCACGUUGAUCUUGGUCAGCUCCCCGGCCCCCACCUCUUUCCAACCUACUGGAAGAUGAUGGAGCCAUUCCCCAGCCACCCCUUCCACCAUCCCUACCACCAUAACUUGAAUCAUUUCGUCCACCACGGCCUCCAUCACGACCACCAGUACCAGAGCCCCAACGCCUAGACCUGCCCAUCCCACCACCACGUGAAGCCAUAUCACGAAUCUCCGGAGGGACUCGCUGGUUUGCCCCUUCUAGAACUUUGACAAGAUCUGAAGCAUACUUUGCAUCCUGCUCUGCAAAGAAUGUGUAAGCAACUCCAGUGGCACCUGCCCUACCAGUCCUUCCAAUCCUGUGCACAUAAUCCUCUACUCCAGUUGGGAAAUCAUAGUUGAUAACCACCCUGUGAUAAAAGAUCAGGUCAUUCUAGCAUUAUAACCUAAUUUUUACCUUUGAAAUCUAAAGAAAGGAUGGAGAAGAGACAUAUAUACACACACUUUGACCAAUUAGAAUAGAGCAUAAAAUCUCCUCCUUUUUUUUUUAAUAAAUUACUAAGAAAUUUGAUCUCUAUCACAAAGUAAUUCACAAGGCGGAGAUAUAAGAUCAUUCAGAGUGCUUGAAAGUUGAAAACAAGAAGUUGCAUGCUGAUCUAGAUGUCGAAAUCAUUUUGAACAGCCAAACAGUGACCUAACAUGAUAGAGAGCAUGCUUGUGUGCACACAAACACACAUUGCACGGUUUUGGGAUAAAAAAUUUUAAGCUCAAAUUUCACUCAUGUUAUACGAGGGAAAAGAGGCAAAAUAUUCAGUAAUGAGAGACCAAAUAGGUAGAAACUCAGCUUCAUCAGAAAUAAUGUAAAAAAAAAUAGAGUAAUCAAUCAACCUGCUCCACUUGUUCUAUAAUUUAAACACAGAAUAACUCCUCUUACCUGAUAUCCUUAAUGUCAAGUCCUCGAGCUGCAACAUCGGUGGCCACAAGUACCGGGGACCUCCCAGUGCGGAACUGAUUCAAUACAUAAUCCCUCUCACCUUGAGAUUUGUCUCCAUGAAUGGCAGCAGCUCCAAAGGGGCGGGUUAGGUUCCGAGCCAGUUGAUCACACAUCUUCUUAGUUGAACAGAAAAUGAUAAUCUUGGAUCCUGGUUCUUGAGAGCGCAAUAUCUGCUCCAACCGCUUGUGUUUCUCCAUAUAUGGCAAUACUUCAACAUACUGCAAGAAAACAAUGAGAGAAGUACUUCAAUAGAAAAAUAUAAUAGAAGUGACAUAAGAAACUCCAUCUCUUGUUGUCAGAGCCAGAAUAACAUAAACAUUCUUAAUCUGUUUUGUGGUAAGUCAAGAACAGCUUCCACACCUGAGUGAUCGCCUUGUUUGCAACAAGCUCAUCAACAUUCCCAAUGUUAACCUGAACAGGAUUAACUAGUAGAUCUGCUGCAAUCUUCCGAACCUCCUUCGGCCAUGUUGCAGUGUACAUGAGAGUCUGCCGGCGAGCGGGUACCUCUUUCACAAUCUUUCGAAUCUGAGGUUCAAAACCCAUGUCCAGCAUUCGGUCUGCCUCGUCCAGCACCAGAUAAGACACUUGACGGAGGCUGACUCUUCUCAUUUCCAGAAUAUCAUUCAAGCGGCCAGGAGUAGCAACCACGAUAUCUGCUCCUCUGUCUAGAUCUCUCAACUGGGGACCCUUUGGUGCUCCUCCAUACAAACACUUAAAAGACAAAAACAAAUGAGAACUAACAUCAGCAAUUAAAACAAUCAUUUUUCCUAAACAGCAAAAAGGUAUUAAGAGUUGCAAGUAACAAACUGUGCAUGAAAGUCUUGAUGAUCUUCCAAACUUCACAGCUUCAUCUUGUAUCUGUGUUGCCAACUCCCUAGUUGGUGAGAGUACCAAAACAGUUGGACCCAUUUGGGGAUUAUUGCGGAUGCGUUUGAGAUGAAUAAAGCCAGGAAUUAGGUAGCCCAGUGUUUU
rnacentral:lncRNA from 1 species